rnacentral:misc_RNA from 1 species
CGCUGAUGUCGCCAAGUCGGACAAGAUUGUGGUGGAGAAGUCAACGGUCCCCGUCAAGACAGCGGAGGCAAUUGAGAAGAUACUGACCCAUAACAGCAAGGGGAUCAACUACCAGAUCCUCUCCAAUCCUGAAUUCCUUGCAGAGGGGACAGCCAUUGAGGACCUGUUCGCCCCUGACCGUGUGCUGAUCGGUGGCCGGGAGACUCCCGGGGGCCAAAAGGCUGUUCAAACAUUGAAGGCAGUGUACGCAAAUUGGGUACCCGAGGACCGCAUCCUAACUACAAACCUGUGGUCUGCAGAGCUUUCGAAGCUCGCAGCAAAUGCCUUCUUGGCACAGAGGAUCUCAUCUGUGAAUGCCAUAUCUGCUCUCUGCGAGGCGACCGGGGCCGAUGUCGCGGAGGUGGCGUACGCUGUGGGGAAAGACUCGAGAAUCGGCCCUAAAUUCUUGAAUGCAAGUGUUGGCUUCGGAGGGUCGUGCUUCCAGAAAGACAUUCUCAAUCUGGUCUACAUCUGCGAGUGCAACGGCCUCCCCGAGGUCGCCAAUUACUGGAAGCAAGUCAUCAAGAUAAACGACUACCAGAAGAGCCGUUUCGUGAACAGGGUCGUCUCUUCCAUGUUCAACACUGUGGCUGGGAAGAAGAUUGCUGUACUCGGUUUUGCAUUCAAGAAGGACACUGGUGACACAAGGGAGACUGCCGCAAUUGAUGUCUGCAAGGGACUGCUAGGGGACAAGGCGCAGAUCAGCAUCUACGACCCGCAGGUGACUGAGGAUCAGAUCCAGCGG